AGGUCUAUAGCUCGGUGUUAGAGCAUUUGACUCGCGAUCAAGAGGUUAUUGGUUCGAACCUCAUUGGGCCCU